ACGCUGGCGGCGUGCUUAACACAUGCAAGUCGAACGGAAAGGCCCUUCGGGGUACUCGAGUGGCGAACGGGUGAGUAACACGUGGGUGAUCUGCCCUGCACUCUGGGAUAAGCCUGGGAAACUGGGUCUAAUACCGGAUAGGACCACACACUUCAUGGUGAGUGGUGCAAAGCUUUUGCGGUGUGGGAUGAGCCCGCGGCCUAUCAGCUUGUUGGUGGGGUAAUGGCCCACCAAGGCGACGACGGGUAGCCGGCCUGAGAGGGUGACCGGCCACACUGGGACUGAGAUACGGCCCAGACUCCUACGGGAGGCAGCAGUGGGGAAUAUUGCACAAUGGGCGCAAGCCUGAUGCAGCGACGCCGCGUGAGGGAUGACGGCCUUCGGGUUGUAAACCUCUUUCAGUAGGGACGAAGCGAAAGUGACGGUACCUACAGAAGAAGGACCGGCCAACUACGUGCCAGCAGCCGCGGUAAUACGUAGGGUCCGAGCGUUGUCCGGAAUUACUGGGCGUAAAGAGCUCGUAGGUGGUUUGUCGCGUUGUUCGUGAAAACUCACAGCUUAACUGUGGGCGUGCGGGCGAUACGGGCAGACUAGAGUACUGCAGGGGAGACUGGAAUUCCUGGUGUAGCGGUGGAAUGCGCAGAUAUCAGGAGGAACACC
rnacentral:rRNA from 1 species